rnacentral:rRNA from 1 species
GAUGAACGCUGGCGGCGUGCUUAACACAUGCAAGUCGAACGAUUAAAGCACCUUCGGGUGUGUAUAGAGUGGCGAACGGGUGAGUAACACGUGACCAACCUGCCUCGCACACCGGGAUAACUGUUGGAAACGGCAGCUAAUACCGGAUACUAUCGCGGGUUCGCAUGGACCUGCGAUGAAAGCUUUCGCGGUGCGAGAUGGGGUCGCGGCCCAUUAGGUAGUAGGCGGGGUAACGGCCCACCUAGCCUGCGAUGGGUAGCCGGACUGAGAGGUCGAUCGGCCACAUUGGGACUGAGAUACGGCCCAGACUCCUACGGGAGGCAGCAGUGGGGAAUAUUGCGCAAUGGGGGAAACCCUGACGCAGCAACGCCGCGUGCGGGAUGAAGGCCUUCGGGUUGUAAACCGCUUUCAGCAGGGAAGACAGUGACGGUACCUGCAGAAGAAGCCCCGGCUAACUACGUGCCAGCCGCCGCCGUAAAAC